CCUACGGGAGGCAGCAGUGAGGAAUAUUGGUCAAUGGACGAGAGUCUGAACCAGCCAAGUAGCGUGAAGGAUGACUGCCCUAUGGGUUGUAAACUUCUUUUAUAUGGGAAUAAAAUGUUCCACGUGUGGGAUUUUGUAUGUACCAUACGAAUAAGGAUCGGCUAACUCCGUGCCAGCAGCCGCGGUAAUACGGAGGAUCCGAGCGUUAUCCGGAUUUAUUGGGUUUAAAGGGAGCGUAGGUGGAUUGUUAAGUCAGUUGUGAAAGUUUGCGGCUCAACCGUAAAAUUGCAGUUGAAACUGGCAGUCUUGAGUACAGUAGAGGUGGGCGGAAUUCGUGGUGUAGCGGUGAAAUGCUUAGAUAUCACGAAGAACUCCGAUUGCGAAGGCAGUUCACUGGACUGCAACUGACACUGAGGCUCGAAAGUGUGGGUAUCAAACAGGAUUAGAUACCCCAGUAGUC
rnacentral:rRNA from 1 species